rnacentral:lncRNA from 1 species
UUCUUUUUCCACUAUCACAUCAUACAGAACUAUUAACCUAUUCCCUCUUUGCCUCCAGUUUCUCACCUAUAUUUCCCCUUUGAACACCUGAGCCAUUUAUCAUUUGUGAGCUGCCAUUACAACCAUACUCCAGGUGAUGUAUUGACAGCCAGGCCAUUGCAGUCCAGUGUUCUCCAGAAGUAGCUCUUUUAGCUUCGCUGCAGGAAAAAGGGUGUCCUACGACAGAAGAGAAUGGCUUCUUAUCUCCCUCUCCUGACCAAGGUUUAUUUCCCUCACUCUGCUCCAUUCUUUCCAGCCCUUGGAGAAAACUGUUUCUUUAUAAUUUUGUUCCUUCAAGUCAAGAUUGACUCCGGUGCUGACAGUCAUGACUGAGCAACCUGUUCUGGGACAGAGAUGUGGCCACCACUCUGAAGAAUAUAGGGGGGAGAUGGAGGUCAGUCAUUCAAGCAGCCUGUCCUUGGCUUUCUCCCCACACAAGAAAGCACCAGCCAAUGGUGCUUUGGCUCGGUGUGAUGGAUGGACUGUUUCCCUUCCUGGGUCACCUGCUAUCCUAGUUUGGAUCUCUGCAGGUAGACUGUCUCUGAUCACAGCAGGGAGCUGGGGAAGGAUCUUUCCAGGACCUAGCAUAUGCACAAGGUGGGAUGAAGAAAGGCUUGUACAUGCUGUGCCCCCAAAUCCGGAGACAGCUGGACAGAGCAGACUCCUUGUUUCCCCAUCCGCCGUAUAG